CCUACGGGUGGCAGCAGUGAGGAAUAUUGGUCAAUGGACGAGAGUCUGAACCAGCCAAGUAGCGUGAAGGAUGACUGCCCUAUGGGUUGUAAACUUCUUUUAUAUGGGAAUAAAACGUUCCACGUGUGGGAUUUUGUAUGUACCAUAUGAAUAAGGAUCGGCUAACUCCGUGCCAGCAGCCGCGGUAAUACGGAGGAUCCGAGCGUUAUCCGGAUUUAUUGGGUUUAAAGGGAGCGUAGGUGGAUUGUUAAGUCAGUUGUGAAAGUUUGCGGCUCAACCGUAAAAUUGCAGUUGAAACUGGCAGUCUUGAGUACAGUAGAGGUGGGCGGAAUUCGUGGUGUAGCGGUGAAAUGCUUAGAUAUCACGAAGAACUCCGAUUGCGAAGGCAGUUCACUGGACUGCAACUGACACUGAGGCUCGAAAGUGUGGGUAUCAAACAGGAUUAGAUACCCUUGUAGUA
rnacentral:rRNA from 1 species